rnacentral:rRNA from 1 species
GACGAACGCUGGCGGCGUGCUUAACACAUGCAAGUCGAACGGAAAGGCCCUGCUUUUGUUGGGUGCUCGAGUGGCGAACGGGUGAGUAACACGUGAGUAACCUGCCCUUGACUUUGGGAUAACUUCAGGAAACUGGGGCUAAUACCGGAUAGGAGCUCCUGCUGCAUGGUGGGGGUUGGAAAGUUUCGGCGGUUGGGGAUGGACUCGCGGCUUAUCAGCUUGUUGGUGGGGUAGUGGCUUACCAAGGCUUUGACGGGUAGCCUGCCUGAGAGGGUGACCGGCCCCAUUGGGACUGAGAUACGGACCAGACUCCUACGGUAGGCAGCAGUGGGGAAUAUUGCACAAUGGGCGGAAGCCUGAUGCAGCAACGCCGCGUGCGGGAUGACGGCCUUCGGGGUGUAAACCGCUUUCGCCUGUGACGAAGCGUGAGUGACGGUAAUGGGUAAAGAAGCACCGGCUAACUACGUG